UUAAGUUAUUAAGGGCGCACGGUGGAUGCCUUGGCACUAGAAGCCGAUGAAGGACGUUACUAACGACGAUAUGCUUUGGGGAGCUGUAAGUAAGCUUUGAUCCAGAGAUUUCCGAAUGGGGGAAACCCAGCAUGAGUUAUGUCAUGUUAUCGAUAUGUGAAUACAUAGCAUAUCAGAAGGCACACCCGGAGAACUGAAACAUCUUAGUACCCGGAGGAAGAGAAAGAAAAUUCGAUUCCCUUAGUAGCGGCGAGCGAAACGGGAAGAGCCCAAACCAACAAGCUUGCUUGUUGGGGUUGUAGGACACUCUAUACGGAGUUACAAAGGACGACAUUAGACGAAUCAUCUGGAAAGAUGAAUCAAAGAAGGUAAUAAUCCUGUAGUCGAAAAUGUUGUCUCUCUUGAGUGGAUCCUGAGUACGACGGAGCACGUGAAAUUCCGUCGGAAUCUGGGAGGACCAUCUCCUAAGGCUAAAUACUCUCUAGUGACCGAUAGUGAACCAGUACCGUGAGGGAAAGGUGAAAAGCACCCCGGAAGGGGAGUGAAAUAGAACCUGAAACCGUGUGCUUACAAGUAGUCAGAGCCCGUUAAUGGGUGAUGGCGUGCCUUUUGUAGAAUGAACCGGCGAGUUACGAUUUGAUGCAAGGUUAAGCAGUAAAUGUGGAGCCGUAGCGAAAGCGAGUCUGAAUAGGGCGUUUAGUAUUUGGUCGUAGACCCGAAACCAGGUGAUCUACCCUUGGUCAGGUUGAAGUUCAGGUAACACUGAAUGGAGGACCGAACCGACUUACGUUGAAAAGUGAGCGGAUGAACUGAGGGUAGCGGAGAAAUUCCAAUCGAACCUGGAGAUAGCUGGUUCUCUCCGAAAUAGCUUUAGGGCUAGCCUCAAGUGAUGAUUAUUGGAGGUAGAGCACUGUUUGGACGAGGGGCCCCUCUCGGGUUACCGAAUUCAGACAAACUCCGAAUGCCAAUUAAUUUAACUUGGGAGUCAGAACAUGGGUGAUAAGGUCCGUGUUCGAAAGGGAAACAGCCCAGACCACCAGCUAAGGUCCCAAAAUAUAUGUUAAGUGGAAAAGGAUGUGGCGUUGCCCAGACAACUAGGAUGUUGGCUUAGAAGCAGCCAUCAUUUAAAGAGUGCGUAAUAGCUCACUAGUCGAGUGACACUGCGCCGAAAAUGUACCGGGGCUAAACAUAUUACCGAAGCUGUGGAUUGUCCUUUGGACAAUGGUAGGAGAGCGUUCUAAGGGCGUUGAAGCAUGAUCGUAAGGACAUGUGGAGCGCUUAGAAGUGAGAAUGCCGGUGUGAGUAGCGAAAGACGGGUGAGAAUCCCGUCCACCGAUUGACUAAGGUUUCCAGAGGAAGGCUCGUCCGCUCUGGGUUAGUCGGGUCCUAAGCUGAGGCCGACAGGCGUAGGCGAUGGAUAACAGGUUGAUAUUCCUGUACCACCUAUAAUCGUUUUAAUCGAUGGGGGGACGCAGUAGGAUAGGCGAAGCGUGCGAUUGGAUUGCACGUCUAAGCAGUAAGGCUGAGUAUUAGGCAAAUCCGGUACUCGUUAAGGCUGAGCUGUGAUGGGGAGAAGACAUUGUGUCUUCGAGUCGUUGAUUUCACACUGCCGAGAAAAGCCUCUAGAUAGAAAAUAGGUGCCCGUACCGCAAACCGACACAGGUAGUCAAGAUGAGAAUUCUAAGGUGAGCGAGCGAACUCUCGUUAAGGAACUCGGCAAAAUGACCCCGUAACUUCGGGAGAAGGGGUGCUCUUUAGGGUUAACGCCCAGAAGAGCCGCAGUGAAUAGGCCCAAGCGACUGUUUAUCAAAAACACAGGUCUCUGCUAAACCGUAAGGUGAUGUAUAGGGGCUGACGCCUGCCCGGUGCUGGAAGGUUAAGAGGAGUGGUUAGCUUCUGCGAAGCUACGAAUCGAAGCCCCAGUAAACGGCGGCCGUAACUAUAACGGUCCUAAGGUAGCGAAAUUCCUUGUCGGGUAAGUUCCGACCCGCACGAAAGGCGUAACGAUUUGGGCACUGUCUCAACGAGAGACUCGGUGAAAUCAUAGUACCUGUGAAGAUGCAGGUUACCCGCGACAGGACGGAAAGACCCCGUGGAGCUUUACUGUAGCCUGAUAUUGAAAUUCGGCACAGCUUGUACAGGAUAGGUAGGAGCCUUUGAAACGUGAGCGCUAGCUUACGUGGAGGCGCUGGUGGGAUACUACCCUAGCUGUGUUGGCUUUCUAACCCGCACCACUUAUCGUGGUGGGAGACAGUGUCAGGCGGGCAGUUUGACUGGGGCGGUCGCCUCCUAAAAGGUAACGGAGGCGCUCAAAGGUUCCCUCAGAAUGGUUGGAAAUCAUUCAUAGAGUGUAAAGGCAUAAGGGAGCUUGACUGCGAGACCUACAAGUCGAGCAGGGUCGAAAGACGGACUUAGUGAUCCGGUGGUUCCGCAUGGAAGGGCCAUCGCUCAACGGAUAAAAGCUACCCCGGGGAUAACAGGCUUAUCUCCCCCAAGAGUUCACAUCGACGGGGAGGUUUGGCACCUCGAUGUCGGCUCAUCGCAUCCUGGGGCUGUAGUCGGUCCCAAGGGUUGGGCUGUUCGCCCAUUAAAGCGGUACGCGAGCUGGGUUCAGAACGUCGUGAGACAGUUCGGUCCCUAUCCGUCGUGGGCGUAGGAAAUUUGAGAGGAGCUGUCCUUAGUACGAGAGGACCGGGAUGGACAUACCUCUGGUGUACCAGUUGUCGUGCCAACGGCAUAGCUGGGUAGCUAUGUGUGGACGGGAUAAGUGCUGAAAGCAUCUAAGCAUGAAGCCCCCCUCAAGAUGAGAUUUCCCAACUUCGGUUAUAAGAUCCCUCAAAGAUGAUGAGGUUAAUAGGUUCGAGGUGGAAGCAUGGUGACAUGUGGAGCUGACGAAUACUAAUCGAUCGAAGACUUAAUCAA
rnacentral:rRNA from 1 species